rnacentral:sRNA from 1 species
CGAUCUGGUUGCAACAUCUAUCACCCCAUCGAUCUCUAGGGUUGAUUCGGCUGAUCUGGCUUUCUAGGCAGGUGUCCUUCUU